rnacentral:rRNA from 1 species
GUGGGGAAUCUUGCGCAAUGGGCGAAAGCCUGACGCAGCCAUGCCGCGUGAAUGAUGAAGGUCUUAGGAUUGUAAAAUUCUUUCACCGGGGACGAUAAUGACGGUACCCGGAGAAGAAGCUCCGGCUAACUUCGUGCCAGCAGCCGCGGUAAUACGAAGGGGGCUAGCGUUGCUCGGAAUUACUGGGCGUAAAGGGCGCGUAGGCGGACAGCUUAGUCAGAGGUGAAAGCCCAGGGCUCAACCUUGGAAUUGCCUUUGAUACUGGCUGUCUUGAGUUUGGGAGAGGUGAGUGGAACUCCGAGUGUAGAGGUGAAAUUCGUAGAUAUUCGGAAGAACACCAGUGGCGAAGGCGACUCACUGGCCCAAUAAUGACGCUGAGGCGCGAAAGCGUGGGGAGCAAACAGGAUUAGAAACCCUUGUAGUCC